CCUGCAGUCUUCCCUGCUGUCAAUUGCUGUCCAUUUUCUGCAGGCUGGAGUAGAGCGUGGGCAUUGUGGAAGAAAAAGCCCAGCAAGGAAGACAGAGACCGAGAGAAAAGCUAAACUGGAGCUCUGAAGGCAAGAUUGGGACGCGACGUCACUAGUUUAUUGCUUCGAGCACACAGCCCCUCUGCCGUAGGAGGAAGUCAAAGAACCUGGAGAGACCUCACACAGCCUGGAACACACAAACUCCACACAGGAAGGCUCCAGCCAACCAGGAGGUUUGAUCUUGCUGUGAAGAAACAGUACUAACUGCUGCUCUACCAAUCUCCGAGGAGAUAUGCACAUAGUCAAACUG